rnacentral:pre_miRNA from 1 species
CUUAUACUCCCUCCGUUCGGAAUUACUUGUCGCAGAAAUGGAUGUAUCUAGAUGUAUUUUAGUUCUAGAUACAUCCAUAUUCGAGACAAGUAAUUCCGAACGGAGGGAGUACUAA